rnacentral:rRNA from 1 species
GGCGACGGGUGAGUAACACGUGGGCAAUCUGCCCUGCACUCUGGGACAAGCCCUGGAAACGGGGUCUAAUACCGGAUAUUACCGUGGAGCGCAUGCUCUGUGGUGGAAAGCUCCGGCGGUGCAGGAUGAGCCCGCGGCCUAUCAGCUUGUUGGUGGGGUGAUGGCCUACCAAGGCGACGACGGGUAGCCGGCCUGAGAGGGCGACCGGCCACACUGGGACUGAGACACGGCCCAGACUCCUACGGGAGGCAGCAGUGGGGAAUAUUGCACAAUGGGCGAAAGCCUGAUGCAGCGACGCCGCGUGAGGGAUGACGGCCUUCGGGUUGUAAACCUCUUUCAGCAGGGAAGAAGCGCAAGUGACGGUACCUGCAGAAGAAGCACCGGCUAACUACGUGCCAGCAGCCGCGGUAAUACGUAGGGUGCGAGCGUUGUCCGGAAUUAUUGGGCGUAAAGAGCUCGUAGGCGGCUUGUCGCGUCGGAUGUGAAAGCCCGGGGCUUAACCCCGGGUCUGCAUUCGAUACGGGCAGGCUAGAGUUCGGUAGGGGAGAUCGGAAUUCCUGGUGUAGCGGUGAAAUGCGCAGAUAUCAGGAGGAACACCGGUGGCGAAGGCGGAUCUCUGGGCCGAUACUGACGCUGAGGAGCGAAAGCGUGGGGAGCGAACAGGAUUAGAUACCCUGGUAGUCCACGCCGUAAACGUUGGGAAACUAGGUGUGGGCGACAUUCCACGUUGUCCGUGCCGCACUAACGCAUUAAGUUCCCCGCCUGGGGAGUACGGCCGCAAGGCUAAAACUCAAGGAAUUGACGGGGGGCCCGCACAAGAGGCGGAGCAUGUGGCUUUAGUUCGACGCAACGCGAAGGACCCUUACCUAGGCUUGGACAUACGCCGGAAAAC